rnacentral:tRNA from 1 species
GGCCACGUGGCGGAGUGGUUACGCAGAGGUCUGCAAAACCUCGUACGCCGGUUCAAUUCCGGCCGUGGCCUCCA